rnacentral:rRNA from 1 species
GGAGGUGCAAGCGUUAUCCGGAUUCACUGGGGUUUAAAGGGGUGCGUAGGCGGGUAUUUAAGUCAGUGGUGAAAUCCUAGAGCUUAACUCUAGAACUGCCAUUGAUACUAUUUAUCUUGAAUAUUGUGGAGGUAAGCGGAAUAUGUCAUGUAGCGGUGAAAUGCUUAGAUAUGACAUAGAACACCUAUUGCGAAGGCAGCUUACUACGCAUAUAUUGACGCUGAGGCACGAAAGCGUGGGGAUCAAACAGGAUUAGAUACCCUGGUAGUCCACGCCCUAAACGAUGGAUACUCGGCAUACGCGAUACACUGUGUGUGUCUGAGCGAAAGCAUUAAGUAUCCCACCUGGGAAGUACGACCGCAAGGUUG